CCGUGCUAGGUGGGGAGGUAGCGGUGCCCUGUAACCCGCAAUCCGCUGUAGCGGGGCUGAAUUCCAAUCCGAGGCUUUAUUCAGUUUAUAGCAGGUCUAUCAGUCCUGUGUUGAAGAUUGGGUCCUACGCAACGAGCACUUCUGAACCGUGUCAGAUCCGGAAGGAAGCAGCACUAAGGGAGAUCGUUCGUGUGCCGUAGGGUUGCCUGAUCGGAGCAAGAGUGAUAGGUGCCGUAUAGGUUGUUUGAGUCAGAGAUUGGUGCACGG
rfam:Thermoactinomyces sp. DSM 45891 genome assembly, contig: Ga0066384_104